rnacentral:rRNA from 1 species
AACGAACGCUGGCGGCAUGCCUAACACAUGCAAGUCGAACGAGACCUUCGGGUCUAGUGGCGCACGGGUGCGUAACGCGUGGAACCUGCCUUUAGGUUCGGAAUAACUCAGAGAAAUUUGAGCUAAUACCGGAUGAUGUCUUCGGACCAAAGAUUUAUCGCCUUUAGAUGGGCCCGCGUUGGAUUAGCUAGUUGGUGGGGUAAAGGCCUACCAAGGCGACGAUCCAUAGCUGGUCUGAGAGGAUGAUCAGCCACACUGGGACUGAGACACGGCCCAGACUCCUACGGGAGGCAGCAGUGGGGAAUAUUGGACAAUGGGCGAAAGCCUGAUCCAGCAAUGCCGCGUGAGUGAUGAAGGCCUUAGGGUUGUAAAGCUCUUUUACCCGAGAUGAUAAUGACAGUAUCGGGAGAAUAAGCUCCGGCUAACUCCGUG